UGAAAUUUGUUGGCUCUGUCGGUGCGAGCUUUUGAUCGGACCCAGUCGGACGUCGGUGCCGCGCUGCCCGUUUUUUUUCAGUGUGUACGUUUUGAUUGCAAAAAGAAAAACAAAAGAAAAAGCAAGCAACGACGCUGAAAACAUUUUUCAUUUCGUGGAAUGGAAAAGCGGCCGCAGCAAAUGAAUAGAUAAAUUGUGUUAAUCGCCAAAAUCGAGCCAGCAAAUAUUUACUGUAUUUAUAAAUUGUUGUUGUUGCUGUGCCUCUUUUUCCGUUGAUGGUCUGCCCUUAGUUGUUAUUGCUGUUGUUUUUGCUAAUUGUGCAGCUGCCCGCCAGCGAAUGAUAAAAAAUGUCAUAGACGUGCUCGUGCUGCCCUGCUCUCCUCAUAAGCGUCGGACGUCGCCAGGCAGCGUCGCCACUACAUCUUCCAGCCAUGACCAGUGGAAAUCGAUGAUUGCCAUACCCUAAGAGUGCGAAAGAAAGUGAUUGCCAGGCGAAAAGGACAGAGCACCCGACGACCACCAUUCGAGGACAACUAAAAGCGAAGGGCUUUACCCGUUUGACUCAGAGACAAGGACAUCAUCAUCAUCAUGUUGAUCAAGGAGUACCGCAUUCCGUUGCCCCUUACCGUCGAGGAGUAUCGCAUUGCCCAGCUUUACAUGAUUGCGAAAAAGAGUCGCGAGGAGAGUCAUGGCGAGGGCAGUGGCGUUGAGAUAAUCAUCAAUGAGCCGUACAAGGACGGUCCCGGGGGAAAUGGCCAGUACACGAAGAAGAUCUAUCACGUGGGCAAUCAUCUGCCGGGCUGGAUCAAGAGUCUUCUGCCCAAAAGCGCUUUAACCGUGGAGGAGGAGGCGUGGAAUGCCUAUCCCUACACCAGAACUCGCUACACCUGCCCCUUUGUGGAGAAGUUUUCGCUGGACAUUGAGACAUACUAUUAUCCAGAUAAUGGAUAUCAGGAUAAUGUCUUUCAGCUGUCCGGCAGUGAUUUACGCAACCGCAUUGUGGAUGUGAUUGACAUUGUCAAGGAUCAGCUGUGGGGCGGCGACUAUGUAAAGGAGGAGGAUCCAAAGCACUUUGUGUCCGAAAAGACGGGCAGGGGCCCACUGCCCGAUGACUGGCUGGAGGAGUACUGGCGCGAGGUGAAGGGCAAAAUGCAGCCAACGCCCAGGAACAUGUCCCUGAUGACCGCCUACAAGAUCUGUCGCGUUGAGUUCCGCUACUGGGGCAUGCAGACGAAGCUGGAGAAGUUCAUUCACGAUGUGGCAUUGCGUAAAAUGAUGCUGCGUGCCCAUCGGCAGGCCUGGGCCUGGCAGGACGAGUGGCAUGGCCUAACCAUCGAGGACAUACGCGAAUUGGAGCGUCAGACGCAAUUGGCAUUGGCCAAAAAGAUGGGCGGCGGAGAGGAGUGUAGCGAUGAUAGCACUUCUGAGCCGUAUAUGAGUACUGCGGCCAGCACUGCUGCCGCCUCCACGUCGGGCAGCGAGCAGCGUAAAAAGUCUGCUCCGGCCAUACCGCCGAUUGUCACCCAACAGCCGCCAAGCGCAGAGGCCAGUUCGGAUGAGGAGGAGGGCGAGGGCGAGGAGGAGGAUGAUGAUGAGGACGAGAACGAUGCUAUAGGCAGGGGCGUUGAUCUGACCACCGCCCAAGGCAGCACCUCUGCUCAGCGCUCCCGAUCCCAGAGCAUUCAGAUGGCCAACAACAAGGCCAAGUUCGGUUCGAAGGGUGCCCUACACUCGCCUGUGGGUUCGGCCCACAGCUUUGAUCUUCAGUCAAAAAAGCCGCAUGCAAAGACAGCGCCACGCAGACAUGUGGCAAACUGGCGCAUGGAGCGAUUGGAAGUGGACUCCAAAUCCAAUUCGGAUGAGGAAUUCUUUGAUUGCCUAGACACCAACGAAACCAACUCGCUGGCCAAAUGGAGCUCCUUGGAGCUACUGGGCGAGGGCGAUGACAGUCCGCCGCCACAUGGCGGCCCUACAAGCGGUGGAUCGGUGAGUGGUCGUGGUAAUUCACGGCAGGAGGACAGCAUCUUCAACCAGGACUUUCUCAUGCGCGUGGCCUCUGAGCGCGGUAAUAAGCGACAAUUGCGCUCCUCCGCCAGUGUGGAUCGCAGCCAUGACUCGUCGCCGCCGGGAUCUCCGAGCACACCGUCAUGCCCUACAACGAUCCUCAUUUUGGUUGUCCAUGCGGGCAGUGUCCUGGAUGCGGCCAGUGAGCUGACUGCCAAGAAAUCCGAUGUGACCACCUUCCGUGGCUCCUUUGAGGCGGUGAUGCGACAGCACUAUCCCAGCCUGCUGACCCAUGUUACCAUCAAGAUGGUGCCAUGUCCCUCGAUCUGCACGGAUGCCCUGGGCAUUCUCUCCAGCCUGAGUCCAUACUCCUUUGACGCCUCGCCCUCGGCGGCGGAUAUACCGAAUAUAGCCGAUGUCCCAAUUGGGGCAAUACCAUUGCUAUCGGUGGCCUCGCCGGAAUUCCAGGAGACGGUGAACAAGACGGUGGCCGCCGCCAAUAUAGUCUACCACGAGUUCUUGAAAUCGGAGGAGGGGCACGGCUUCUCUGGACAGAUUGUGAUGCUGGGCGAUUCGAUGGGCUCGCUGCUGGCCUACGAGUCCCUGUGCCGCUCGAACGGCAGUGCACCGGGCACCGCCACUUCGGGGGCAUCCAAUUCUGGCGGAGAUGCUGCUGGCAAUCCCGCCCACAUAAAUCCCCACAAUCCGCUAGGCGCUCGCCACUCCCGUUUGGAUGACGAGGAACGGUUCAUUGUGGAAGCCGACUUGGAUGCCAAGCGAUUGCUAGUGGCACCAUCGCCACGUCGUCGCCGUUCCAGCUCCUCAAGCGAUUCGCGUGGAACCAAAUUGGACUUUGAGGUCAGUGAUUUCUUCAUGUUCGGCUCACCGCUAUCGGUGGUUUUGGCCGCCCGGAAGCUGCACGAUGCCAAGGCGGCGUUGGCGAGGCCCAACUGCCAUCAGGUGUACAAUCUGUUCCAUCCAACCGAUCCGAUUGCCUCCCGGCUGGAGCCGCUGCUUAGUGCCCGUUUCUCCAUACUGUCGCCGGUGAAUGUGCCGCGCUACGCCAAGUAUCCGCUGGGAAAUGGUCAGCCACUGCAUUUAUUGGAGGUGAUUCAGUCGCAUCCGCAACACUUUAACGAUGGCAAUAAUCUCCUGGCCGCCGGUCGUCGGCUCUCGGAUGCCUCGAUGCAGAGCACGAUAUCGGGUCUGAUUGAAAACGUCUCGCUAAGCACGAUCCAUGCCCUUCAAAACAAAUGGUGGGGCACCAAGCGCCUGGACUACGCCCUAUACUGUCCGGAGGGCCUGAGCAACUUCCCGGCCCAUGCCCUGCCGCAUCUGUUCCAUGCCAGCUACUGGGAGAGUCCCGAUGUGAUUGCGUUCAUCCUGCGCCAGAUUGGCAAAUUCGAGGGCAUACCCUUUGUGGGUUCCAACGAUGACAAGGACAACGCCUCAUUCCAUCCCGGCCAGCCGCGGGAGAAGUGGAUCAAAAAGCGCACCUCGGUCAAGCUGAAAAAUGUGGCCGCCAAUCAUCGGGCCAACGAUGUGAUCGUCCAAGAGGGACGCGAGCAGCGCCUGAAUGCCCGGUUUAUGUACGGUCCCUUGGACAUGAUCACCCUGCAUGGCGAGAAGGUCGAUGUGCAUAUUAUGAAGGAUCCACCGGCCGGAGAGUGGACAUUCCUUAGCACCGAAGUGACGGACAAGAAUGGCCGCAUCUCGUACAGCAUCCCGGAUCAGGUGUCCCUCGGCUAUGGCAUUUAUCCGGUGAAGAUGGUCGUGCGCGGCGACCACACAUCGGUUGAUUGCUAUAUGGCCGUGGUGCCGCCGCUAACCGAAUGCGUAGUCUUUAGCAUCGAUGGCUCCUUCACCGCCUCCAUGUCGGUGACGGGCCGCGAUCCCAAGGUGCGUGCCGGCGCCGUCGAUGUCUGCCGGCACUGGCAGGAGCUGGGCUAUCUGCUCAUCUACAUCACCGGACGACCGGAUAUGCAGCAGCAGCGUGUCGUCUCCUGGCUAAGCCAGCACAACUUUCCCCAUGGCCUCAUCUCCUUUGCCGACGGCCUCUCCACGGAUCCCCUCGGCCACAAGACGGCCUAUCUCAAUAAUCUGGUGCAGAACCAUGGAAUCUCAAUCACAGCCGCCUAUGGCAGCAGCAAGGACAUCAGUGUCUACACCAAUGUGGGCAUGCGCACCGAUCAAAUCUUUAUCGUGGGCAAGGUGAGCAAGAAGCUGCAGGCGAAUGCCACCGUUUUGAGCGAUGGCUAUGCCGCCCAUCUCUCCGGACUGCAGGCCGUGGGCGGUUCACGACCCGCCAAGGGCAAUGCCCGCAUGGUCAUACCGCGGGGCUGCUUCAAUCUUCCCGGCCAGACGGCAAAUCCGCGACGCAGAAGCAACGAGACGGGACUAUCAUCACCCAUACGCAGUGGUUACCUUAAGCGCAAGACUUACCUGAGCCACCACUAGAGAGAGCCACUCUAUCCGAUACAGAAAAGCGAUAAAAACUCCCCAACAACACUUCGAUAGUGUCCCCUAGGUAUAUCGCAAUAUAUCCUGCAUUCCCUAUGCAAUAGAGCAGCAACCCAUCUGAACAACUAGCAAACGAGUGUAAGGACAACAACAACACCGAUGACUCCAUAUGCCACAUAUUUGUAUAUGCAUAUAUCACAAAAAAAAUAAUAAUAUACAUAUAUUGCGAAUUCAAUGAUGUAAUAUAUACACAACAUAUAUUAUGUAUGUAUGUCGAAAACAAAAUUGCAAAAGAGUAAAGAACAAUUGUACAACAUAUAACCAAAGUCAAAUGUGUCACGCGGUACCUGGAAAGAAAGACUGUUUCCUCCUGUUGCUUGAUGGUUUUUCAAACCACUUAGAGCAGAAAAAAAAAAAAAAAAAAAGAAAAAUGCAUCAAAAGCAGAUACUAAAAACAAUUGUAAAAGAUAUAUACAUACAUGACAGAAAAAUAUAUAUUCAAAAUAUAAAAGCGUUUAACAUAUGCAAACGAACAAAGUUCAAAGGUACAACAACAACAACAACAGCAAAAUUGAAGGACAAACUAAUAAUUAAUAAUGCAACCGAAGAUCUCCCAAGGAAUAUGAAGCAACCGAAACAAGACACCAAACAAACUAAACUAAAAUCGUAGGACAAGGAAAAGCGGCUGAAUCAAAAGGCAAAUUCAAUGCAUUUCUUGAAAAAAAACUUGUUAAAAUUAACGGCUUCCGUGAAUCAAACUAAAAAUCUACAAAAGCAAAAAUCUAUUUACUUAUGUGUGCGUGUAAAAAUUGACUAAAAAUGUUUUUGAAAAGAAAAGAAAACCGUCAUGAAAAUGAUUGCAACCUCUAACUACUUUGGCCCCCCCAGAAACCUAAAUCUCCAUAAUUGUGAUAGAGUCUUUCGCUACCCAGAAAAAGGUUAAAAAGUAAACCAAAAAAUGUAAAUCAUUAUAUAUAUACACA